CGUACACUCCUGCGGGAGGCAGCAGUGGGGAAUAUUGGACAAUGGGCGCAAGCCUGAUCCAGCCAUGCCGCGUGAGUGAUGAAGGCCCUAGGGUUGUAAAGCUCUUUUGUGCGGGAAGAUAAUGACGGUACCGCAAGAAUAAGCCCCGGCUAACUUCGUGCCAGCAGCCGCGGUAAUACGAAGGGGGCUAGCGUUGCUCGGAAUCACUGGGCGUAAAGGGUGCGUAGGCGGGUCUUUAAGUCAGGGGUGAAAUCCUGGAGCUCAACUCCAGAACUGCCUUUGAUACUGAAGAUCUUGAGUUCGGGAGAGGUGAGUGGAACUGCGAGUGUAGAGGUGAAAUUCGUAGAUAUUCGCAAGAACACCAGUGGCGAAGGCGGCUCACUGGCCCGAUACUGACGCUGAGGCACGAAAGCGUGGGGAGCAAACAGGAUUAGAAACCCUGGUAGUCCCAUG
rnacentral:rRNA from 1 species